UACAGGGGGUGCAAACGUUGCUCGGAAUCAUUGGGCGUAAAGCGCACGUAGGCGGUUCGUUAUGUCGGAUGUGAAAGCCCUUGGCUUAACCGAGGAAGUGCAUCCGAAACUGGCGAGCUAGAGUACUAAAGAGGAUCGCGGAAUUCCCGGUGUAGAGGUGAAAUUCGUAGAUAUCGGGAGGAACACCGGUGGCGAAGGCGGCGAUCUGGGUAGAUACUGACGCUGAGGAGCGAAAGCGUGGGGGAGCGAACAGG
rnacentral:rRNA from 1 species